CUUAGCUCAGUCGGAUAGAGCAACGGCCUUCUAAGCCGUGGGUCGCAGGUUCGAAUCCUGCAGG
rnacentral:tRNA from 6 species